GACGAACGCUGGCGGCGUGCCUAAUAAAUGCAAGUAGAACGAGUUGCGAACGGGUGAGUAACGCGUGGUAACCUGCCUCAUCGCGGGGGAUAACUCUUGGAAACGAUAGCUCAUACCGCAUACUGUGAGAUGGACCUGCGUUGUAUUAGCUCGUUGGUGAGGUAAAGGCUCACCAAGUAGCCGAUACAUAGACGACCUGAGAGGGUGAUCGGCCACACGGGAACUGAGACACGGGCCAGACUCCUACGGUAGGCAGCAGUGGGGAAUAUUGCACAAUGGGCGCAAGCCUGAUGCAGCCAUGCCGCGUGUAUGAAGAAGGCCUUCGGGUUGUAAAGUACUUUCAGCGGGGAGGCGUUACCCGCAGAAGAAGCACCGGCUAACUCCGUGCCAGCAGCCGCGGUAAUUC
rnacentral:rRNA from 1 species